rnacentral:lncRNA from 1 species
UGAUUUCUCUCUCUCUCUUUCUCUCUCUCGUUCUCUCCCUCUCUUUCACACUCUUUCUUUUUAUGACGUCAAGUGAAGCGUACGAACAAUAAGCGAAAUCCUCUUGUGCCUGUUAUGAAAAUAUGACGUAUAGACGUUUUAGAAUGUCGAUGAUGGGUUUGGGAUAAAUAAGCUUGACCCGAAUAAUUCUCAUAUUAUUUUUAGGUCGACCGUUCGAUUUUUAUGAACGAAAAGGAAAAUAUUUUCUAACGGUAAUCGUGCCUAUAAUUCCCUUAUUUCACAGACCAUUCAAGUUAACUGUCUUAAUCUAUCCUAAGUUGUAUGCAUAUAUGUAUACAUAGUAACUGUCUAGAGUUUAGGUUAGCGUAACGGUUAGAGUUGUCGCUGCCGCUUACGAAACCGGAUGGAUUCAGGUACUGAUCCAGCUUUAUAUCCUCUAAGGAGGGAUGCUUGUUGGCUUAUCGUGAUUUCUAAAGGGAUCUUUCUUGGGGUUUACAAUGUAUCGUCUACUUAAUUAAAAUAUGAAAGUUACCAACCUUCAAUGAUCUGAAAUUAAGUACAUUAAGUUAGAAGAUUUUGUAUUAUUGAUAUUUUAUUUUGUGCUUGUUCUUUUAUAAUGUUUUUCUUAUUUAACAGUUAAUUAAUUUUAGUUAGUUUAUAAGCUUAAAUUUGAGCUAUGACUUGUUAAUCUUUUGUUAAAAUCCUGACCACAAAAUUAUGGGAAUUGUACCGUGUCAUUUUGAAUAAAUUUAUGCAUAAAUUGUAUUGUGCUCUUUUGACAAUUGGACUAAAAUAUAAGAUUAAUAAAAUACUAUAAAUAAAAUGGACAUAAUAAGAAAGAUAAAAAAUGCCCAAUGAUGAUGAUGAUAAUAAUAUCAAAUGUGAUAUUUGAUGUUGAUAUUAAACCAGCCAGAGUCAAUCUAGCAGAAGGGACACACAAACUGAGGUACAUUUAGUUACUAACGAAAUAUUGUCUCGGGAAGGUCUGAGUAAAGGUCUGAUUUCGAAGGUAUCUUCUUUUUGGAUAUCUUCAAAUAAUUGCUCUAGAAGGGCAGCUCUGCUAUACAGGGCCGAGGAUAACAGAAAUAUUCGACGAUCGAGCUUUUUGUAACCCAGGACGCCAUGUUAUCUCCUUUCGCUUAUAUGUUCCUUUUUCUUUCUUUCCUGGGUAUAUGAUAU